rnacentral:rRNA from 1 species
CACGUAGGGCGCAAGCGUUGUCCGGAAUUAUUGGGCGUAAAGAGCUCGUAGGUGGUUUGUUACGUCUGCUGUGAAAACCCAGGGCUCAACCCUGGGCCUGCAUUCGAUACGGGCAGACUAGAGUUCGGUAGGGGAGACUGGAAUUCCUGGUGUAGCGGUGAAAUGCGCAGAUAUCAGGAGGAACACCGGUGGCGAAGGCGGGUCUCUGGGCCGAAACUGACGCUGAGGAGCGAAAGCGUGGGGAGCAAACAGG